rnacentral:rRNA from 1 species
AUUGAACGCUGGCGGCAUGCCUUACACAUGCAAGUCGAACGGUAACAGAAAGGAGCUUGCUGCUUUGCUGGCGACUGGCGGGCGGGUAAUAAAUGUGUGCGAAACCUGCUGAUGGGGGGGGAUAGCCACUGGCAACGGUAACUAAUACCGCAUACCGUCGCAGAACCCAGGAGGGGGACCUUCGGGCCUCUUGCCAUCUGAUGUGCCCAGAGGGGAUUAGCUAGUGGGUGGGGUAACGGCUCACCUAGGCGACGAUCCCUAGCUGGUCUGAGAGGAUGACCAGCCACACUGGGACUGAGACACGGUCCAGACUCCUACGGGAGGCAGCAGUGGGGAAUAUUGGACAAUGGGCGAAAGCCUGAUGCAGCAAUGCCGCGUGUAUGAAGAAGGCCUUCGGGUUGUAAAGUACUUUUAGCGGGGAGGAAGGGAGUAAAGUUAAUACCUUUGCUGAUUGACGUUACCCGCAGAAGAAGCACCGGCUAACUCCGUG